rnacentral:rRNA from 1 species
CAAAACUUUCAACAACGGAUCUCUUGGUUCUGGCAUCGAUGAAGAACGCAGCGAAAUGCGAUACGUAAUGUGAAUUGCAGAUUUCAGUGAAUCAUCGAAUCUUUGAACGCACAUUGCGCCCGCUAGUAUUCUGGCGGGCAUGCCUGUUCGAGCGUCAU